UGCAAGUCGAGCGCAGGAAAUCGACGGAACCCUUCGGGGGGGAAGUCGACGGAAUGAGCGGCGGACGGGUGAGUAACACGUAAAGAACCUGCCCUCAGGUCUGGGAUAACCACGAGAAAUCGGGGCUAAUACCGGAUGGGUCAUCGGACCGCAUGGUCCGAGGAUGAAAGGCGCUUCGGCGUCGCCUGGGGAUGGCUUUGCGGUGCAUUAGCUAGUUGGUGGGGUAAUGGCCCACCAAGGCGACGAUGCAUAGCCGACCUGAGAGGGUGAUCGGCCACACUGGGACUGAGACACGGCCCAGACUCCUACGGGAGGCAGCAGUAGGGAAUCUUCCACAAUGGACGAAAGUCUGAUGGAGCAACGCCGCGUGAACGAUGAAGGCCUCGGUCGUAAGUUCGUGUUGUAAGGUAAGGAACGAAGUA
rnacentral:rRNA from 1 species